UACUAAACCCGGUUGCAGCGAACACGAUCCCGAUCUAAAAUCGGGUGAGUAAAGCGGAAAACGGGGCUUUCG
rnacentral:misc_RNA from 1 species